AGCAGCCGCGGUAAUUCCAGCUCCAAUAGCGUAUAUUAAAGUUGCUGCAGUUAAAAAGCUCGUAGUUGAAUUUCGGGACCAUCAUGUCGGUCGUGCCUCGGUACGUACUGGCAUUGUUGGUUUCUCCCUUCUGACGAACCAUGAUGUCAUUUAUUUGGUGUCGUGGGAAAUCAGGACUGUUACUUUGAAAAAUUAGAGUGUUUAAAGCAGGCUCACGCUUGAAUACAUUAGCAUGGAAUAAUGAAAUAGGACGUUUGAUUCUAUUUUGUUGGUUUCUAGGAUCGACGUAAUGAUUAAUAGGGAUAGUUGGGGGCAUUAGUAUUCAAUUGUCAGAGGUGAAAUUCUUGGAUUUAUUGAAGACUAACUACUGCGAAAGCAUUUGCCAAGGAUGUUUUCAUUAAUCAAGAACGAAAGUUAGGGGAUCGAAGACGAUCAGAUACCGUCGUAGUC
rnacentral:rRNA from 2 species